CCCACCAUGGCGGUCCUGCCCCCUCCAGUGUGGAGCUGCAGCAGGGGAAGGCCACUCUCAUGUGCCUGGCAAACAAGGGCUUCCCCUCAGACUGGAAGCUGAACUGGAAGGUGGAUGGGAGCAGUAGCAGCACCUGGGAGGUGACAGGGAGCCCUGGGGUCCUGGAGAAGGACGGCCACUACAGCUGGAGCAGCACCCUGACCCUCCCUGUCGACCAGUGGAGGAAGGUGGGCUCUGUGACCUGUGAGGCCACCCAGGGCUCCCAGACUCCACUCUCAGAGACACUGAGGAGAGACCAGUGUUCUGAUUAAUGAGCUCCUCCUCUGACUCCACUGUUUUUACUCUGUUCUGCACUCAGCGCCUCUCCGUCUUACUGAUCCAGCACUACUAGCACCACAGGAGGUUGGUGGAACCUUAAAUAGGGAGGAUGGGCUCAUGGUUAUGACUGAAAUGGAAU